GAUGAACGCUGGCGGCGUGCCUAAUACAUGCAAGUCGAGCGAACAGAUGAGGAGCUUGCUCCGCUGACGUUAGCGGCGGACGGGUGAGAAACACGUGGAUAACCUACCUAUAAGACGGGGAUAACUUCGGGACUCCGGCGCUAAUCCCGGAGAAUCUAUUGCACCGCAUGGUGCAAUGGUGAGAUACGGUUUUGCUGUAUCUUCUAGAUGGAUCUGAGCGUGAUUAGCUAGUUGGUAAGUUAACAGGUUACCAAGGCAACUAUGCGUAGCCGACCUGAGAGGGUGGUAGGCGACACUGGAACGGAGACACGGUCCUGACGCCUACGGGAGGGAGCAGUAGGCAACCUGACGCAACGGUCGAGAGCCUUACGGAGCGGCGCGGCGUCAGUGAUGGAGGUCUUCGGAUCGUAAAACUCUGUUAUUAGGGAAGAACAAAUGUGUAAGUAACUAUGCACGUCUUGACGGUACCUAAUCAGAAAGCCACGGCUAACUACGUG
rnacentral:rRNA from 1 species